CCUGUCUCCAGGCCCCUGGGACUGUCUGCUCUGGAGCCAGGAACAUAGCAGCACUUCCAGGAACCCUGGCUGGGGGUGGGAGGUGGCCCCCCUCCCUCCCAGUGUGGAUGAAAACCCUGGUGUUUGCUGUGUAAUCACAUAAAAAAAAAUAUUUUGAGAGAGGGCACAUGUGAGCACGUGGGGAAGAAGGCAGGGGAAGAAUCCCAAGAUGUGGGGCUGGAUCCCAGGAACUGUGAGAUCAUGAUCGGAGCUGAAAUCAAGAGGACCCUCAACCAUCUGAGCCACCCAGGCGCCCCUAAAAGGUGGUUUUACUCAAGCAGAGGUACGGGACCCGAGCGUGUAAGUACUGACCUGCUGUGUAAUCAUUCUGCCAAGUGGGUGUCAUGCUUCCAAUCCCACACAGGACCCUUCUCUUCCCGGUCUAAGGUCUGCCCACGGACUUUAGGCCCCCUCCUCCAGGGAACCUGGGGCAUCCACAACCCCACCCUCCUUGCCCCUUGCAGCACAUGCUGCUGGAACACGUGCGGUGAUGCCUCGUGGCCCGUGUCCCACCGACCACAGGAGCGGGUUCUACCUCCUCCCCCAAACCCGAGUCCCACGCUAGUCCCCACUCCUCCGGGUAACCAGGAGGGCCUCAGGCCUUCUUUCUUACAUCCAUCCCACACACACUCCUGUCCCACAGGCCUCAUCCUCCCUCCCUGAGAGAGGCCCUCCACCCCCAGACGUUCCUUUUAUGCUCCUUCCUUACCUGUUCCCUGCAGAACAACCCACGAGGACGUCAGAGCUGUAGCCUGGCACGAGAUGCACACACAGUACAGCCCGGUGCUGACCCAGAGCCAUCAGAGGGAGAAUCAGAGUGUCUACUGAGUGGUCUGGCAUUGGUGGGCAGAGGACCUGAGGCCCAGGAGACUAUAAGCCACUGCAGGGCCAGGAUGGUGGCUGGAUGGGCACGGGCAGGCCUGCCCCUGGACUUAGGGGGCACAUGGCCCAACAUCACUGCCUACGAGCCCCUUUCUCAUCUGGCCAGACCGUCAGAUAGCUGUGGUAACCAAGCCUCAGAGCAGGAACGUGACCGCCCCGAGGUGCCGAGAUUAAAAGUGGAGCUUGAACAUGAACUGGAGCCCGGGCUCCACAGGGAAACCUACAGAUCGCACACGCACCACCACACCUCUUUCUCGUGUGUAACUGAAAAAUGCCACCAGUCUUGGGGCAACUGCUGGCCUCCACCAGCCAGAGCCCCCUGAGAGCACUGCAGACCACCCACUGCUGCCUUUGAAGUGUUCCUGUGUGUCC
rnacentral:lncRNA from 1 species